rnacentral:lncRNA from 1 species
CUAAACUAUACCAAAACAAAUUUCACACAUGAAAAUAGUUAUCCUGUAGACAAGGUUACGUUUACAAUAAUCUGAUGAGUGACAAUAUUAGGCCUAUCAGUUGUCAUAUUGAACAUGAAGAGAUGUGAGCAUCUUGUAAUUGACAGAUGCAGUGAAAGGAGCAUCUCUUUAUCAAAUCCUCAUUCAGAGUCACAUGCAGGUAACACAUUGUGAUUUCUAUAUAGUACUGUAUCUGAAAGAGCAGAUUCUGCAGGUUAAACAUUGUGAUUUCUAUAUAAUACUGUAUCUGAAAGAGCAGAUUCUGCAGGUUAAACAUUGUGAUUUCUAUAUAAUACUGUAUCUGAAAGAGCAGAUUCUGCAGGUUAAACAUUGUGAUUUCUAUAUAGUACUGUAUCUGAAAGAGCAGAUUCUGCAGUUUCCUUGACACUUACCUUUAUCAAAUAACUCU